rnacentral:rRNA from 1 species
UUCCGGUUGAUCCUGCCGGACCUGACUGCUAUCGGAUUGAUACUAAGCCAUGUGAGUCAUUGUAGUAAUACAAGGCAGACGGCUCAGUAACACGUAGUCAAUCUACCCUAUGGACGGGGAUAACCUCGGGAAACUGAGAAUAAUACCCGACAGAUCAUAAUGCCUGGAAUGGUUUAUGGUUCAAAUGAUUUUUCGCCAUAGGAUGGGACUGCGGUCUAUCAGCUUGUUGGUGAGGUAAUGGCCCACCAAGGCUAUAACAGGUACGGGCUCUGAGAGGAGUGGCCCGGAGAUGGGUACUGAGACACGGACCCAGGCCCUAUGGGGCGCAGCAGGCGAGAAAACUUUGCAAUGUGCGAAAGCACGACAAGGUUAAUCCGAGUGGUUUCUGCUAAAGGAACCUUUUGUUAGUCCUAAAAACACUAACGAAUAAGGGGUGGGCAAGUUCUGGUGUCAGCCGCCGCGGUAAAACCAGCACCUCAAGUGGUCAGGAUGAUUAUUGGGCCUAAAGCAUCCGUAGCCGGCUCUGUAAGUUUUCGGUUAAAUCUGUACGCUUAACGUACAGGCCGCCGGAAAUACUGCAGAGCUAGGGAGUGGGAGAGGUAGACGGUACUCGGGAGGAAGUGGUAAAAUGCUUUGAUCUCCCGAUGACCACCUGUGGCGAAGGCGGUCUACCAGAACACGUUCGACGGUGAGGGAUGAAAGCUGGGGGAGCAAACCGGAUUAGAUACCCGGGUAGUCCCAGCUGUAAACGAUGCAAACUCAGUGAUGCAUUGGCUUGUGGCCAGUGCAGUGCCGCAGAGAAGUCGUUAAGUUUGCCGCCUGGGAAGUACGUACGCAAGUAUGAAACUUAAAGGAAUUGGCGGGGGAGCACCACAAGGGGUGAAGCCUGCGGUUCAAUUGGAGUCAACGCCGGGA